CAAAGGCGUACAGUACUUCCAACCGGCUGCUAACUGGGUGGGAAUUUGCAAUCUUUGUUUCCCCCUCCUCCAACCUCCCUAGCUGCAGGCAGAUGUGAUUUUGAACUCUCUCUCUCCCCCUCUUUCUUUACUUUCCCCUCCUCUCUCCUGUACAGAGAGGGAUUUCUUUUUCUACUUCUCUCCCUCGAUUCCAAGACUCAAGAAGUCUUUUUCUACCUUGGGAGGAGCCAAGCCAAGAUGUUCAAGUUUGAUUCCUGUUCAGUAGAAGCCUUGGAAAUACAGGGAAGCACCUUCAAGCAGAACAGACUGAUGUAUGAACAAAUCAACAGGAUGGCUUCACCAGCUUGGGAAGCAAUAAACACUGAGGGAGAAUUAAGAUGCCAGGAAUCCAGGUAAUAGCAUUUUUAGUUACCAGAAAUACAUGCUCAAAUGAGGAAGGCAUGAGCCCUGCUGAGAACAUUGGAAAACUUGAAGCAUUACAUAAAUGAGUAGUUGUUAUUAUAUAUCUGCAAAGAUCCCAA
rnacentral:lncRNA from 1 species